GACGAACGCUGGCGGCGUGCUUAACACAUGCAAGUCGAGCGGAAAGGCCACUUCGGUGGUACUCGAGCGGCGAACGGGUGAGUAACACGUGAGUAAUCUGCCCUUGGCUUUGGGAUAGCCACCGGAAACGGUGAUUAAUACCGGAUAUGACCACUCUAGGCAUCUAGUGGUGGUGGAAAGUUUUUCGGCCAGGGAUGUGCUCGCGGCCUAUCAGCUUGAUGGUGAGGUAAUGGCUCACCAUGGCUUCGACGGGUAGCCGGCCUGAGAGGGUGACCGGGCACAAUGGGACUGAGACACGGCCCAGACUCCUACGGGAAGCAGCAGUGGGGAAUAUUGGACAAUGGGCGGAAGCCUGAUCCAGCAACGCCGCGUGAGGGAUGACGGCCUUCGGGUUGUAAACCUCUUUCGGUAGGGACGAAGCGUGAGUGACGGUACCUACUAAAGAAGCACCGGCCAACUACGUGCCAGCAGCCGCCGUAAAAC
rnacentral:rRNA from 1 species